GACGAACGCUGGCGGCGUGCCUAAUACAUGCAAGUCGAACGCUUCUUUCCUCCCGAGUGCUUGCACUCAAUUGGAAAGAGGAGUGGCGGACGGGUGAGUAACACGUGGGUAACCUACCCAUCAGAGGGGGAUAACACUUGGAAACAGGUGCUAAUACCGCAUAACAGUUUAUGCCGCAUGGCAUAAGAGUGAAAGGCGCUUUCGGGUGUCGCUGAUGGAUGGACCCGCGGUGCAUUAGCUAGUUGGUGAGGUAACGGCUCACCAAGGCCACGAUGCAUAGCCGACCUGAGAGGGUGAUCGGCCACACUGGGACUGAGACACGGCCCAGACUCCUACGGGAGGCAGAAGUAGGGAAUGUUCGGCAAUGGACGAAAGUCUGACCGAGCAACGCCGCGUGAGUGAAGAAGGUAUUCGGAUCGUAAAACCCUGUUGUUAGAGAAGAACAAGGACGUUAGUAACUGAACGUCCCCUGACGGUAUAUAACCAGAAAGCCACGGCUAACUACGUG
rnacentral:rRNA from 1 species